rnacentral:rRNA from 1 species
ACUGAGUGACAGCCGCCGCGGUAAUACGGAGGGUGCAAGCGUUAUCCGGAUUCACUGGGUUUAAAGGGUGCGUAGGUGGGCAAGUAAGUCAGUGGUGAAAUCUCCGGGCUUAACCCGGCUCCUGCCAUUGAUACUAUUUGUCUUGAAUACUGUGGAGGUCAGCGGAAUAUGUCAUGUAGCGGUGAAAAUGCUUAGAUAUGACAUUGNAACACCAAUUGCGAAGGCAGCUGGCUACACAAAUAUUGACACUGAUGCACGAANGCGUGGGGAUCAAACAGGAUUAGAUACCCUGGUAGUCCAC